rnacentral:rRNA from 1 species
UACGUAGGGGGCAAGCGUUGUCCGGAUUUAUUGGGCGUAAAGAGCGUGUAGGCGGCUUUGCAAGUCCGUUGUGAAAACUCGAGCUCAACCUCGAGACGCCGGUGGAAACUGGCAAAGCUAGAGUCCGGAAGAGGAGAGUGGAAUUCCUGGUGUAGCGGUGAAAUGCGCAGAUAUCAGGAAGAACACCCGUGGCGAAGGCGGCUCUCUGGGACGGUACUGACGCUGAGACGCGAAAGCGUGGGGAGCGAACAGG